GUCAAGAAUGCAGUCGAACGGAAUAUCUUUUGUAGCAAUACAGGAGGUGUUCAGUGGCGAAAGGGUGCGUAACACGUGGGCAAUCUGCCGGGAAAUGGGGGAUAGCUCGUCGAAAGGCGAAUUAAUACCGCAUGUGGCCAUUGAAGACAUCUUCAAGACGCCAAAGUCGGGGAUCCAGCAAUGGACCUGACGUUUCCUGAUGAGCCCGCGGCCUAUCAGCUAGUUGGCGGGGUAAAAGCCCACCAAGGCUAUGACGGGUAGCUGGUCUGAGAGGACGACCAGCCACACUGGAACUGAGACACGGUCCAGACACCUACGGGUGGCAGCAGUCGAGAAUUUUUCUCAAUGGGGGCAACCCUGAAGGAGCGACGCCGCGUGGAGGAUGAAGGUCUUCGGAUUGUAAACUCCUGUCAUUUGGGAACAAUGUGCAUUUAUUAUCUGUGGAUGCAUUGAUAGUACCAGAAGAGGAAGAGACGGCUAACUCUGUGCCAGCAGCCGCGGUAAUACAGAGGUCUCAAGCGUUGUUCGGAUUCAUUGGGCGUAAAGGGUGCGUAUGUGGCGAGGCAAGUCGGGUGUGAAAUCCCGGAGCUCAACUCCGGAACUGCAUUCGAUACUGCCCUGCUCGAGUACUGGAG
rnacentral:rRNA from 1 species